rnacentral:rRNA from 1 species
UACAGAGGUCUCAAGCGUUGUUCGGAUUCAUUGGGCGUAAAGGGUGCGUAGGUGGCGCCGUAAGUCAGGUGUGAAAACCCGUGGCUCAACCAUGUGGUCUGCAGUCGAUACGGGCAGGCUAGAAUUCGGUAGGGGAGACUGGAAUUCCUGGUGUAGCGGUGAAAUGCGCAGAUAUCAGGAGGAACACCUGCGGCGAAGGCGGGUUGCUGGGCUGAUACUGACGCUGAGGCGCGGAAAGCCAGGGGAGCGAACGGG